rnacentral:rRNA from 1 species
UACGGAGGGGGUUAGCGUUGUUCGGAAUGACUGGGCGUAAAGCGCGCGUAGGCGGAUCAUCAAGUCGGGGGUGAAAUCCCGGGGCCCAACCCCGGAAUGGCCUUCGAGACUGGUGGUCUUGAGUUCGAGAGAGGUGAGUGGAAUUUCGAGUGUAGAGGUGAAAUUCGUAGAUAUUCGGAGGAACACCAGUGGCGAAGGCGGCUCACUGGCUCGACACUGACGCUGAGGUGCGAAAGCGUGGGGAGCAAACAGG